rnacentral:lncRNA from 1 species
UACUUCCAGUUUCGCUGUAAUCUGAUUGGCUGGGAGAGUGACUAACGCAAAGCCCGAAAAACUGGAAUCAAAGAGGAAGUGCCAAAGCACACCUUCAAAAUAAAAGCCGUUCUUAACCAUUUGUCCUUUUUUUGAUUUUCUUGAAAAUUAUAUCGCAAAACGCGUGAUCACCAAGAAAGUGUUUGUCUACCCUUAAUUCAAAGUAAUUGGCAAUUCUCAAUUGACAAUUCAAUUUGCAAUUUGAUCCUUGCUAUUUCAAAAUGCGCUUCGCCAUUGGCAAUUUAAUAUUCAGGCUUGCAAUGUGAAAAUGCAUUUUGCAAUUCAGAUUCCAAUAUGAAAAACUACCAUUAAUUGCAAAAUGAAUUAUCAAUUGAGAAUUGUAUAUUGCAUAUAUCACCCCCAGUCUAAAAAACAAUUUCAAAAAGAGUUGUAAACUCCCUGCUAUAAAUAUAUUGAUACAUUUGUAUGUAUGGUAGUCCUAUCAGGCUGUCUUUGGCUAAUUCUGGCCUUUAUAACCACGUGUAAUCAUGUGUUUAUUUCAAAUUGCAUGUUUAAAAUAAAUUCUUGUUCUUAAUAUUAUUAUAGCAAGAUGUCCCAUCUGUUUUUUUUCUGUGCAGAGCAUUUCUUCUUCUUCCAGUGCAAAUUAUCUCCCCAACAAAAAAUCAGUCUUUCGGACAAGGACAUUGCUGUUUGGCUGAAUCCACAAGAUCCUUUUUAGGCUGUUAUGUCAGUUGUGAAGUGUGCUGAUAAGACUCCAAUCAACACUGAACAUUAGUGGGAGUUUUUCUUUAUCAGUCUUGAAAUGUUACUUUUUCAGUUGUAGCCC